ACCACCAUCCUGUUUGUUUAACACAAGCACUGAUGCCUGGAGAUUUCCACUUAAGAAAGGACUAUUGCUAAGUCCUAGAAGUUUUGGGCAGUGUGAGGGGCGAUGUGCAUUAACUUUUGUGGGAUUUAAUGAAGCAAGAUUUAACAGCAUUUCAUAUCAGCAUUUGGUGGCUCCCCUGCUGUGUCAUAGAAGGACCGAAUAAGAGGGAACACUGGAAAACAGUCAGAGAUGAUCUCACAGUGAUGACUUAACUCCUACAGGCCCAAUUCUUCCAAUGAAUCUCAGGCUACCAAGAAAUGCCCUUGCUUCAACAUGUUGGUUGGUAUAGGAAUACUUUGCUGUAUAAUAUACUAUCUUCUGAGUUUGUUAAAAAUAGGAGAGGUUUAGCUGCCCAGGAUGGCUGAUUCACCCCAAAGUAAGGCAUGUGUAAGAGGCCUCAAAAAGUCUGUAAUGAUUUGUAAACCAGUAUAUCUAGCUUUGGAAUUGAUUUUCUUUUCUUUUCAUUUAGGAUACUGGGGUGUAUGCUAAUGAGAAAGGGUGUGGCUUUGAGUAGAAAGGG